UUAUGACAGAUGUAAUUCAAUAGGUUUUAUUGAUGAAAACAUGUCAGAGGUCCAUGGCAUAGAAAAUACAACCCUCAUAACAAAAUUCAGCAACAGUUUAGAGUAAAUACAUCAUACAAAAUAACAGAUUUCCAAUUUAGGAAUCAUACAUGAACCUGCAAGCACCUGAGUGUAGAAAUAAAUUAACUACUUACAUAUCAAUCAUGACUCGUAUAAGAUAUACUUUCACAUCAUAAAUAAUACACAUUCAUUUUAUUCUCCAGCUAAAAAUUUGUUCACCAUUUUAAAAAGUUGUAUUCUGUGUGAGGAUAGUCUUUGUCUAGCUUACGGGCUAUGUAUGUAGAUGUGCAGAACCUAUCUGCAGACUACCUCUAGUACAUCACAAAUAGUUUUAUGUGUUGGGACAGACUAAAACCAAUGUUUAUCAAUUGAUCCUUGUUACGGAAAACUGAGCUUAAUUCAUGCACGUAGUAUUGGUCCGGAUUAGCCUGUACAGUGUGCGCAAGUUAUCAGUGAAAUUUUCCCCUUUAUGGAAUUUUUUAUUUAAAGGAUGUAUCUUCUAAACACAAAUUCUUUCUUGGUGGAAAGUGUCAAACCUGAUAAGCCUGUGCAGACUGCAGAGGCGUAUCCAUUAUGACACUUCACGCACAUGCAUUCAGCC